GACGAACGCUGGCGGCGUGCUUAAUACAUGCAAGUCAACUUGACUUUAGAUAGCAAUAUCGAAAAGUAGGGUGGCGCACGGGUGCGUAACGCGUAGGUAAUCUGCCUGAGGUCUGACAUAACCCGUCGAAAGGCGGGCUAACAUCAGAUGAUAUAUAAUCACGACAUCGUGGAAAUAUCAAAUCUUCGGAGCCUUGGGAUGAGCCUGCGUCUGAUUAGGUAGUUGGCCGGAGUAAUAGCCCACCAAGCCUACGAUCAGUAGCUGGUCUGAGAGGAUGAUCAGCCACACUGGAACUGAGACAGGUCCAGACUCCUACGGGAGCAGCAGUAAGGAAUAUUGCUCAAUGGGGGAAACCCUGAAGCAGC
rnacentral:rRNA from 1 species